rnacentral:misc_RNA from 1 species
AACGCAAAUUGCGCUCGAGGCUUCGGCCAAGAGCAUGCCUGCCUCAGCGUCGGGUUACUGUUACAUCACCAAAGAUCUGAUUUCUCACAAGAACUCGGUGAAGGGUGGAUCUGGCUUUCUUCGUAUGACGUCUUUAUCCUUUGAUGGGAAACACCCUCCAUAUCCCAGCACCUGUUGUUGGGGGGAGAAGGUGUUCCCUGUCUACUAGGAUGUUACGUGCGUAGGCAGCCGUGUAACCAGAGCUUGCGUGCCCCCUCGCACGCAUACAAGUGUCUGUUUCAUAUACAACUCUAUGCAGGAAAACCAAUUGAACAACAUCUCGGCCUGGGCUCAGGCAACGCUACCCGCUGAACUUA